rnacentral:rRNA from 1 species
GACGAACGCUGGCGGCGUGCUUAACACAUGCAAGUCGAACGGUGAAGCUCCAGCUUGCUGGAGUGGAUCAGUGGCGAACGGGUGAGUAACACGUGAGCAACCUGCCCCUGACUCUGGAAUAAGCGCUGGAAACGGCGUCUAAUACUGGAUACGAGAAGGGUCCGCAUGGGCACUUUCUGGAAAGUUUUUCGGUUGGGGAUGGGCUCGCGGCCUAUCAGCUUGUUGGUGAGGUAAUGGCUCACCAAGGCGACGACGGGUAGCCGGCCUGAGAGGGCGACCGGCCACACUGGGACUGAGACACGGCCCAGACUCCUACGGGAGGCAGCAGUGGGGAAUAUUGCACAAUGGGCGAAAGCCUGAUGCAGCGACGCCGCGUGAGGGAUGACGGCCUUCGGGUUGUAAACCACUUUCAGCAGGGAAGAAGCGAAAGUGACGGUACCUGCAGAAGAAGCACCGGCUAACUACGUG